rnacentral:rRNA from 1 species
CUACGGGGGGCAGCAGUGAGGAAUAUUGCACAAUGGGGGGAACCCUGAUGCAGCAACGCCGCGUGGAGGAUGACGCAUUUCGGUGUGUAAACUCCUUUUAUAUGUCAAGAAAAUGACGGUAGCAUAUGAAUAAGCACCGGCUAACUCCGUGCCAGCAGCCGCGGUAAUACUGAGGGUGCAAGCGUUACUCGGAAUCACUGGGCGUAAAGGACGCGUAGGCGGGUCGGAAAGUCAGGUGUGAAAUCCUACAGCUUAACUGUAGAACUGCACUUGAAACUUCUAAUCUAGAGUAUGGGAGGGGGAGAUGGAAUUAGUGGUGUAGGGGUAAAAUCCGUAGAUAUCACUAGGAAUACCUAAAGCGAAGGCGAUCUCCUGGAACAUUACUGACGCUAAGGCGUGAAAGCGUGGGGAGCAAACAGGAUUAGAUACCCCAGUAGUC